GCAUUAUUCGGAAUGAUUAGGCGUAAAGGGUUUGUAGGUGGUUUUUUAAGUUGAAAAAAACAAAUUAAAGCUCAACUUUAUAAAUUUUUUCAAAACUGAAAAACUUGAGUAUAAAUAGAGGAUAAUGGAAUUUCUAUUGGAGGGAUAAAAUAUGUUGAUAAUAGAAGGAAGAUCAAAAGCGAAGGCAAUUAUCUGGGUAUAUACCGACACUGAGAAACGAAAGCUUGGGUAGCGAACGGGAUUAGAGACCCCGGUAGUCCAUGCUGUAAACGAUGAGUGCUCAUAUUUAGAAUUUUUAGAUAUCAAGCUAACGCGUUAAGCACUCCGCCUGAAAAGUAUAAUCGCAAGAUUGAAACUCAAAGGAAUUGACG
rnacentral:rRNA from 1 species